UACGGGGGGGUAAGCGUUGUUCGGAAUUACUGGGCGUAAAGGGCUCGUAGGCGGCCAACUAAGUCAGACGUGAAAUCCCUCAGCUUAACUGGGGAACUGCGUCUGAUACUGGAGGGCUUGAGUGUGGGAGAGGGAUGCGGAAUUCCAGGUGUAGCGGUGAAAUGCGUAGAUAUCUGGAGGAACACCGGUGGCGAAGGCGGCAUCCUGGACCAUGACUGACGCUGAGGAGCGAAAGCCAGGGGAGCAAACGGG
rnacentral:rRNA from 1 species